rnacentral:rRNA from 1 species
UACGUAGGGGGCAAGCGUUGUCCGGAAUCAUUGGGCGUAAAGCGCGUGUAGGCGGCCCGGUAAGUCCGCUGUGAAAGUCGGGGGCUCAACCCUCGAAUGCCGGUGGAUACUGUCGGGCUAGAGUGCGGAAGAGGCGAGUGGAAUUCCUGGUGUAGCGGUGAAAUGCGUAGAUAUCAGGAGGAACACCGGUGGCGAAGGCGCCACUCUGGGCCGGUACUGACGCUGAGGAGCGAAAGCGUGGGGAGCAAACAGG